AACUGCGCUGUGGAACUUGGCCAACACUCUAGUCUCUUCUCCUCGCUGUCUUCCCUUCCCUACGCUUCACUCGGCUUAUUUUGAUCCCCCUCUCCUCUCCUCUCUUGCCCCGCUGCAGACGUGGUAGUUUGAUGUUCCCUGGAGGCCUUC